GACGAACGCUGGCGGCGUGCUUAACACAUGCAAGUCGAACGGAAAGGCCCUGCUUUUGUGGGGUGCUCGAGUGGCGAACGGGUGAGUAACACGUGAGUAACCUGCCCUUGACUUUGGGAUAACUUCAGGAAACUGGGGCUAAUACCGGAUAGGAGCUCCUGCUGCAUGGUGGGGGUUGGAAAGUUUCGGCGGUUGGGGAUGGACUCGCGGCUUAUCAGCUUGUUGGUGGGGUAGUGGCUUGCCAAGGCUUUGACGGGUAGCCGGCCUGAGAGGGUGACCGGCCACAUUGGGACUGAGAUACGGCCCAGACUCCUACGGGAGGCAGCAGUGGGGAAUAUUGCACAAUGGGCGGAAGCCUGAUGCAGCAACGCCGCGUGCGGGAUGACAGCCUUCGGGUUGUAAACCGCUUUCGCCUGUGACGAAGCGUGAGUGACGGUAAUGGGUAAAGAAGCACCGGCUAACUACGUG
rnacentral:rRNA from 1 species